UUCUUAAAGCAGUGAAUUUAUGUUUUAAAGCAGAUUCGCAAAAUUGCUUUGCAUUGACAUAUGUAGCUAACAAUGCUAGUGUUGUACUUGUUUUAAAUUUCGCGAAAUAUUGUGGUCACAGCGCAAUGUGCAUGUAACUAAAGUAUGCAUAUAUUGGUACACUUAAAGGUGAUAUUUUAUUUAUGCCUUUUUGUUGUAUGAUAAAUUUUUCAAGUCUGUUGAUUGGUUAUGGGAUAGCGAUCUGAGGACCUUUCUGUUCUAUAUACAUUUGUCAUACGACAAAAACACACAAAUGAAAUAGCAUCCUUACGCUAUUAAUAUAUAUUGUCUUUCAGCCGGAGCACUGGGUUACAUACAUUCAUUACGUACAUAACAGCGCUAAGCAUUUACAAGGCGUAAGGAUGGAAUGAAUUAGAAUAGGGGAUAAAAAAUUUUUAUACCCCCUGCACUUAAUUCUCCAUCAUAGUUCCGAGGAUCAAAUGGGAAUUUUCCACGUUGGUCGACUAUCUCACUACCGAUUUCUUAGAGGAACAAUAUAAAGGGCAACGCGACCUCACAGACAAAAUCUCAGUGUUGG